UGUUUGAAGUGAAAGUAUGUUGACAGCUGGAUAUUUUUAAGAGUAUCAUCAAAAAGGUUAAUAUAUACAAGGCACUCUCCCUCCAUUAUUCUUCAUCUUCUUUGGCAUUUCCCUCCUUAAUUCUCCCCUCAUCUCCCUCUCCCUUAUCGCCUUCCGCCGUCACCUGGUUUCGCCGUUGCAGAGUUUCAAGAGACGUCAUGGCUAGAUUACUACCGGCGCUUAUGCCUUCCUUGGUUGUGGUCGGAAUCAAUGGAGCUCGCAACGUUUACGGUAUCCAUAUUGGAGACUGCUCUUACUUUUGCCAAAGGAGCAGUCUGCUUGGAUGGCAUCCCUCCGCCCCAAGGAUUUGGAGACGGAAUCGACAACUGGCAUGUGUUUAGAGAGCCAGCAAUGUCACCAUCUCUCUAUUGGAGUUGGCUAUAGCUAAAGGAGCGGGUACAUUCAUACAUACGUAUAUAUAAACUCUAGCCCAAUCCAUUUCAAUCUUUUAGAAAAGAAUUGUUUGAUCACACACUAUUAGUUUAAUUUUACGUGUAUUUUUCAGACGAUAGCAGAGCGAUUAGUACUUUGAUCAAAACAAGUGCUAGGAGAUGAACAUGCUCAACGACUUGCAACGGACCUGCACUACUAUCGACGACGAAGCUACUUUUGAGAGAAAAAAAAUGUAUUGAUAAUAUGCAACAUAAGAAACCAUAAAUUGGUAGUCUUUGAAGUUUAAUUUGUACUUUUAGUUAAUUAAUGAAGGGUAAAUUUUUUGUUUAA